AACGAACGCUGGCGGCGUGGCUAAGACAUGCAAGUCGUACGAUACGUUGUAGCAAUAUGACGUAUAGUGGCGGACGGGUGAGUAAUGAAUAGGUAACGUACCCAGGGCACAGGGAUAACGUCGGGUCCCGCAAGGGAUCCUUUGCGAAAGUGACGGUAAUACCUGGUGAAGUCUUUGAGUGGCGUCACUCGAAGACCAUAAGGUGGGGAUCUUCGGACCUACCGGCCUAGGAGCGGCCUAUUUCCAUCAGCUAGUUGGUGAGGUAACGGCUCACCAAGGCGACGACGGGUAGCCGGACUGAGAGGUUGUUCGGCCACAUCGGGACUGAGACACUGCCCGGACAUCUACGGAUGGCUGCAGUAACGAAUAUUCCGCAAUGGGCGAAAGCCUGACGGAGCGACGCCGCGUGGAGGAUGAAUUCCCUCGGGA
rnacentral:rRNA from 1 species